rnacentral:lncRNA from 1 species
CUUAUUAAUAAAGUAAAAUUACAAAGAAGAAUAUAAAUUUGAAAUAUUUAUUAAAAUAGAUAAAGACAACUUAGUAAAUUUGAUAAUAAUUAAUUUUAUUAUAUUAGAAAGAACCGAAAUAUUAUAUAUAUUUUUUUAUAAGAUGAUGAAAAAAAAACAAGUUGAAAUCUGGAAGUCAAAAAAAAAAAAGAAAUUAUCACCAUGAACCAUGGCUUCAUCUACCACCAUCAUCAUCCUUCUUGGCUUCAUCCACUCACAUGAAAAUUGGAAAAAGCAAGUCAACUUCAACAAAUUGACAUAUCUAUUAACCUCAAUAAUCCAAAAUUCAUUGCCUAAACCAAAUUUCAACAAAUUGACAAUCUAAAAUCAAGAAGAAAAAAAAGCAGACCCAAAAAAAUAAAAACGCAAACCCAAUUUUUUUUUGCAACUUAGUAGAUUUGAACUUAUAAUUUAUUUUUAGCGUUGCGUUUCUUUCUCACUCAAUCUUCUCUACGUUACCGGAUUUGGUAUGGUGAAGGAAAAUGAUUGUGACAAAAAUUUAUGUAAACUCAUAUCUGAAAUCGAAAC